UACGUAGGGUGCAAGCGUUGUCCGGAUUUAUUGGGCGUAAAGAGCUCGUAGGCGGUUUGUCGCGUCGGCUGUGAAAAUCCGGGGCUCAACCCCGGACCUGCAGUCGAUACGGGCAGACUAGAGUUCGGCAGGGGAGACUGGAAUUCCUGGUGUAGCGGUGAAAUGCGCAGAUAUCAGGAGGAACACCGGUGGCGAAGGCGGGUCUCUGGGCCGAAACUGACGCUGAGGAGCGAAAGCGUGGGGAGCAAACAGG
rnacentral:rRNA from 1 species